CUGGGGUUGCCCCCUGGCGCCGGGGGCUAGGACCACCAAGGAAGAGUGGGACGGAGCUCUACGCAGAUCGGACCUUGAAGCGCAGCUCUGGGCUGUCCAUCGGGCCCGCGACGCGCCGGAGGGGCAUGGCCUCUCUGUCCCGACGUGGGAGCGGCCCGCUGCGCACUAAGUGGGCAAAAAAGUUAUUCAUCCAUCCGUCGCCCUAAAACUAAAAAAAAUCCGUACAAAUGAACUUAUACUUUGCGACUAAUUUUUCUUGCGUUACCUAGCAACAAGCUAACGGCACACCAGGUGCGACAGAUGCAUGCAUCAUGCGCCAGACAGGCCACCGAAGCCAGCGACGCCGGUUGCGCAUGUGAAGUUCGCCUGUUCGGCGACCCGUCUGUUUUGGAUGUAGCAUGUUUGUUGGGCUCCCGGCGAAUUCUUGCUUUCCUUCUGCACUUCGACACGGUACCACUUCACUACUGGACUACGGCAAGCUGACGCUAUCUGGUGGAGCUUUGUACGGGAACUUACCUUGUGCUACAACGUUGGACGAAUGCAGAAAAAGUCCGGAAAUAGCACUUAUAUAGAGCGAAAUAAUAAUUCCUAAUUUACAA